rnacentral:tRNA from 1 species
AGUCGCGUGGUCUAGUGGCUAUGAUUUCUCGUUCACAUCAAGUUGAACACUGUGUUCCGAGAAGGUCCCAGGUUCGACCCUGGUGCGACUA